AAUACAGUUUAUAUUCUCUCCUCUCGAUCGUCCUCCUUCAUAUUUAGAUAUGUGUCUGAAUCAUCAGAGUUAAAUCACACUUGUUGUCAAACUGUCUUGAUGAUUUAAUUCUGAUGCUUUGGACUCAGAUCGAUAUAUACGAGAGGAAGAUGGAGAGGAGACGAUAUGAACUGUGAGCUCUGAAGCUGUGCAGGAAACGUUACACCAGAAGAGUCUGACUUGUUUGGGUCUGGCUCUGUAGUUAUACUGUAGGAGAAAGGAGGCGUUUUGUGUUGCAGGAUUCUUUCGAGUUGAACCGUGUUAAACUUUACUGAAGUUGAUGUGAAAGAGUCCAUGUUCGUGUGUGCAGUCAGUCUGUGUGUUAGUCAACAGUACAUGAGUGAAACUUUUCAACAGUCAUUUCCUCCUCACACCGCAGUUUUCAGUCUUCAGUGUGGCUGAGUUCUCCAUUUUGCUCCGACAGACUAGUGCGACUUAAGUCUCACAAACUCGUAUAUUUAUUUAAUUUAACUCAGUGGAAACAAACCAGGAUUUCAACGAUGAUUAACUGAACGUUUUAAAAGAUUAACAUUUAUAGAUGUUUAUAUAUUUUGAUCUUUUGUCUUUUCAACCGUUUAAAAAGCAUCAGUUACUUUAAGAAUGUAUAAACAUACAGACAGAUUUCUAUAUGUCAGGAUGUGGAAGGUGUUGUGUUUUGUUGUAAUCCUGUGAUCAUUUCAAAUGAACCAAGUGUAGCCUGAGCACCCUCACCCCUCCUCACAGCGGGGCGCUGUGUCUCUCUGGUGCACUGAUUGAUGGGCGGUCACUCCUCUAUAUAGCAGGUGGUUUUACCUGGCGCGCCCUCUCCUUUUGCCGUUCUGCUCGUCCUCAGUGGUGGCGGAGUGGAUGUCAGCGUGGUGGAGCUCAGGUGGUGUGGCUCUGCUGGCGUUGGAGCGUCCUUGGCAUCUUUACCACAGAUGCACGUUAUCUCUGCAGAUGCACGUUAUCUCUGCAGACGCACGUUAUCUCUGCAGCGCACAGGUAAGGCGCGGUAAAGCGCACCGCUGCCUCUUCUCCCCACUCACUUGUCGAUUGUGUAAAUGUGACACAGUUGUCUCCGCUGCAGUGUGGCAGACUGCUGGUGCCGUGGGGCUGGGUCGUCCUUCUGGAAGCCCAUCUGGGUGUCGUUGUGUUCUCCACGUGAAUAUUUAUUCUGACUCUCCACGACGCUGUGCCGGUGAGGUCUAAAGACACGGAAGCCAUCACCUCCUGGACCUACUGCUGUUUUGGUUAUACUGCAACUGUGCUUUGUGUCUCCUCGGCUCUUCGGAGCUGCGUCGGAGGUCAAUUGACCUCAGAGGCUUGUAGCGGAGCUGGCACUGGGGCUUAGAUUGCUGCCCCUGGGAACUUCAUUAAUUAAUAUAAUUAAGAUUUGUAUUGUGUUUUGGGAAUGAGACUCCUCUCUAUUUAUUUAGUUAACAUGGUUUAAUAACCUUUUUCUUGAUUUGGGUCUUUGUUUAUUUCCCUGUUAUUCAAUUAAUGUAUUGUUAUUCAAUUAAUGUAUUGUGUGUGUGUGUGUGUGUGUGUGUUAAAGUGGCUGUGCUAGGACUGUGAGGCUUGGUUAUAUUCUUUUUGUUUGUGGACAGGUGCUGUGGGCCCCUGACGGUGACCUAAUCCCUGGUGGUGGACCCUUUUCUUCACGAAUGUGUGUGUGUGCAGUGUCACGGGUGCUUUUGUUAAUUCUCCCUCCCUUGAUUUGAUUUCGGGCACCAAGGUAACCUCAGCCCUGUUCACCCCUUCAUUUGGCCACAGCCUAGCAGCAAGUGAGUCAGCCAAUGAUGUCUGUCUUAUUAAUUAACUGUUAAAUAAAACUGUUUAGAUUUUUCUAAAAACGUCUCUCGCCUGUGGUAAUUUCGGACUGUGCGACCUGUAAUAAAGGUAAUCAAUUAUUUCUUUUCCACAAUUAACUAUUUCCUGGGGCGAAACUCCCCAGGUGGCGUUGUCGGUGACACCUUAUUACCCUCCACUUGCCACACAAGGAAUGAGCAAGAAUCUUAAUAAUAUAAUUGUUUAAUUAGAUUGAUCCUUUAUACUAUCGCAUCGCGGUAUG
rnacentral:lncRNA from 1 species